rfam:Apaloderma vittatum contig8624, whole genome shotgun sequence.
CAAAAGGCUUUUCUCAAAGCCAGCUCUUUAUUUUCCUUAAAACAGUCU